rnacentral:rRNA from 1 species
UACGUAGGGGGCAAGCGUUGUCCGGAUUCAUUGGGCGUAAAGAGCUCGUAGGCGGCUUGGCAAGUCGGGUGUGAAAACUUCAGGCUCAACCUGGAGCGGCCACUCGAUACUGCCAUGGCUUGAGUCCGGUAGGGGACCACGGAAUUCCUGGUGUAGCGGUGAAAUGCGCAGAUAUCGGGAGGAACACCAGUGGCGAAGGCGGCACUCUGGGCCGGAACUGACGCUGAGGAGCGAAAGCGUGGGGAGCGAACAGG